rnacentral:rRNA from 1 species
GAUGAACGCUGGCGGCGUGCCUAAUACAUGCAAGUCGAACGAACAAACGAGUACCUUUCUGCUGUGACGGGAUCAGCGGACGAGUGAUGAACACGUGGAUAACCUACCGAUAAGACUUGCAUGACUUCGGCAAGCCGGAGCGAAUACCAGAGGAUAUAUUGAACCUCAUGGUUCAAUAGUGAAAGACGGUUUUUCUUUCGCUGAUAGAUGGGUCCGCGGCGCAUUAGCUAGUUGGUAAGGUAAUGGCUUACCAAGGCGACGAUGAGUAGCCGACCUGAGAGGGUGAUCGGCGACAAUGGAAGUGCGAAAAGGUGGAGCAGCCUACGGGAGGCAGCAGCAGGGAAUAUUACGGCAUGGGCGAAAGAAUGAUGGAGCAACGACGCGUGAGGGAUGAAGGUCUUCUGCGGGUAAUAAUCCGCUAUCAGGGAAGAAGCAAUGCGUACUCAAUUAUGCGUGUGUUGACGGUACCUAAACAGAAAGCGCCGGCUAACUACGUG